GGCUCUGCCUCCGGUGAGUGAGGGUGUGGCCGCCCCCACCUCUUGCCCGGUGUGCCCUGACCUUCUGCGCCCACCCUCAGGAGCU
rnacentral:pre_miRNA from 1 species